CCUACGGGGCGCAGCAGUGAGGAAUAUUGGUCAAUGGACGAGAGUCUGAACCAGCCAAGUAGCGUGAAGGAUGACUGCCCUAUGGGUUGUAAACUUCUUUUAUAUGGGAAUAAAAUGUUCCACGUGUGGGAUUUUGUAUGUACCAUAUGAAUAAGGAUCGGCUAACUCCGUGCCAGCAGCCGCGGUAAUACGGAGGAUCCGAGCGUUAUCCGGAUUUAUUGGGUUUAAAGGGAGCGUAGGUGGAUUGUUAAGUCAGUUGUGAAAGUUUGCGGCUCAACCGUAAAAUUGCAGUUGAAACUGGCAGUCUUGAGUACAGUAGAGGUGGGCGGAAUUCGUGGUGUAGCGGUGAAAUGCUUAGAGAUCACGAAGAACUCCGAUUGCGAAGGCAGUUCACUGGACUGCAACUGACACUGAGGCUCGAAAGUGUGGGUAUCAAACAGGAUUAGAUACCCGAGUAGUC
rnacentral:rRNA from 1 species